UGUGUCGAUUCGAUUGGGAUACUCAUCAAUAAUUUUUAGAAAACCGAGAACGUUUCUUUUGUUAAUGGCGGGCCAUAUAAAAUUCUGAAAAAGAACUAAGCUGUAAAGCCGAUGGAUUACAAAGACGGAGAGCACUCAAAUCUUUUAUAGCUCGGAGUUUCAUCACAUCAUCG
rnacentral:sRNA from 1 species